rnacentral:rRNA from 2 species
CAAAUCAGGUAGGGUUACCCGCUGAACUUAA